GGUUGGUCGGAGUGCAGCGGAGUUUACAACUGAUUGAUCACAACCAGUUACAGAUUCUUCUGUUCCUUCUCCACUCCCACUGUUUCACCUGACCAGCCAAAA
rnacentral:Y_RNA from 1 species